rnacentral:rRNA from 1 species
AUUGAACGCUGGCGGUAGGCCUAACACAUGCAAGUCGAACGCGAAAGUUCUUCGGAAUGAGUAGAGUGGCGGACGGGUGAGUAACGCGUAGGAAUCUGUCCUGUAGUGGGGGAUAACUCGGGGAAACUCGAGCUAAUACCGCAUACGUCCUAAGGGGGAAAGCGGGGGAUCUUCGGACCUCGCGCUAUAGGGAGAGCCUGCGUCGGAUUAGCUAGUUGGUAGGGUAAAAGCCUACCAAGGCGACGAUCCGUAGCUGGUCUGAGAGGAUGAUCAGCCACACCGGAACUGAGACACGGUCCGGACUCCUACGGGUGGCAG